CUUUUGUAAUUACUGUUUACUUAGGGAUGCACGAUAACUAUCGGCCCGAUAAUUAUCGGGCCGAUAUUAGGAAAUUGUGACGUCAUUCCGAUAAGUCCGAUAUCAUGAUGACUUGCU